UUCUUUUAUUUUCAUUUUUUAAGUCUGACUGGGUUAUUUCAAAAGAACUGUCUUCAUGAACAGAAAAUCUUUCUUCUACUUGAUUUAGUCUAUUAUCAAAGCUCUCAAUCGUAUAUUUUAUCUCAUUCAUUGAAUUAUUCAGUUAUGGGAUGUCUGUUUGGUUUUUUAUGGUCUUUCUUGGUGGUGAUGACAACAUCCUCCUGGAAGGCUCCUUAUUUCUGACAACAGCAGAGGAGAAGAGGCUAAUUUUAGAGAACAUGGCCUGGCUUCUACCCUCCAGAGGAACAUCCAACAGAUGACUCUUUGUUCUCUCAGCAGGGGAAGUGAUGUGGGAAUCAGGAAACAAUGUCUGACUUCAGCUCCUGCCUACCACCCUCAUCAUGGGCCCCGGAAUUCUGCCCUCCAGAUGGCUCAAGAGUUAACCCCAUGCAGUAUUAAUGUAUGAAACAUGACAAACUGUGCUUUGUUCCCGGCAUGAAUUAACAAUUUGUUUAA